rnacentral:rRNA from 1 species
GCCUACGGGGCGCAGCAGUAGGGAAUCUUCCACAAUGGGCGAAAGCCUGAUGGAGCAACGCCGCGUGGGUGAAGAAGGUCUUCGGAUCGUAAAACCCUGUUGUUAGAGAAGAAAGUGCGUGAGAGUAACUGUUCACGUUUCGACGGUAUCUAACCAGAAAGCCACGGCUAACUACGUGCCAGCAGCCGCGGUAAUACGUAGGUGGCAAGCGUUAUCCGGAUUUAUUGGGCGUAAAGAGAACGCAGGCGGUCUUUUAAGUCUGAUGUGAAAGCCUUCGGCUUAACCGGAGUAGUGCAUCGGAAACU